UCUAUAGGGAUGGGGAUUAGAGCGAGGGGUUGAGCGAGGACCCCCCCACCCCCUCGCGGAGUUUGAGCGAGGUGGAGCGAGGGAUGGCAGAGAUAUUGAGCGAUUUGUUCGGACAAUUUUUUCUCGCUCAAUUAACCAAUAUUUCAGUUUGUCGUAUGUUUUAAUUAUUUCCUAGAGUACUUUUAGGUCUAUAGGGAUGGGGAUUAGAGCGAGGGAUAGAGCAAAGACCCCCUCACCCCCCCACAGAGUUUGAGCGACGUGGAGCGAGGGAUGCCGGAGAUAUUGAGCGAUUAGUUCGGACAAUUUUUUCUCGCUCAACUAACCAAUAUUUCAGUUUGUCGUACGUUUUAAUUAUUUUCAAGAGUACUUUUAGGUCUAUAGGGAUGGGGAUUAGAGCGAGGGAUAGAGCAAAGACCCCCUCACUCCCUCACAGAGUUUGAGCGAGGUGGAGCGAGGGAUGCCGGAGAUAUUGAGCGAUUAGUUUGGACAAUUUUUUCUCGCUCAAGUAACCAAUAUUUCAGUUUGUCGUACGUUUUAAUUAUUUUCAAGAGUACUUUUAGGUCUAUAGGGAUGGGGAUUAGAGCGAGGGAUAGAGCAAAGACCCCCUCACUCCCUCACAGAGUUUGAGCGAGGUGGAGCGAGGGAUGCCGGAGAUAUUGAGCGAUUAGUUCGGACAAUUUUUUCUCGCUCAAUUAACCAAUAUUUCAGUUUGUCGUAUGUUUUAAUUAUUUUCAAGAGUACUUUUAGGUCUAUAGGGAUGGGAUUAGAGCGAGGGAUAGAGCAAAGACCCCCUCACUCCCUCGCAGAGUUUGAGCGAGGUGGAGCGAGGGAUGCCGGAGAUAUUGAGCGAUUAGUUUGGACAAUUUUUUCUCGCUCAAUUAACCAAUAUUUCAGUUUGUCGUAUGUUUUAAUUAUUUUCAAGAGUACUUUUAGGUCUAUAGGGAUGGGGAUUAGAGCGAGGGAUAGAGCAAAGACCCCCCCACCCCCCCGCAGAGUUUGAGCGAGGUGGAGCGAGGGAUGCCAGAAAUAUAGAGCGAUUAGUUUGGACAAUUUUUUCUCGCUCAAGUAACCAAUAUUUCAGUUUGUCGUACGUUUUAAUUAUUUUCAAGAGUACUUUUAGGUCUAUAGGGAUGGGGAUUAGAGCGAGGGAUAGAGCAAAGACCCCCCCACCCCCUCGCAGAGUUUGAGCGAGGUGGAGCGAGGGAUGGCGGAGAUAUCGAGCGAUUAGUUUCAACAAUUUUUUCUCGCUCAACUAAGCAAUUUUUCAGUACCUUAAUAUUUUUAUUUUUUUCAUGGGAAUCAUUAGGCCUAGAGCUUUGGGGAUUAGAGCGAGGGAUAGAGUGAGGAUCCAUCUACUUGGCGUUCAAUUUAGAGCGAGGUAGAGCGAGCGAUGCUGGAGAUAUAGCGCGAUUAGUUCCGACAAUUUUUUCUCGCUCAACUAACCAACAUUUCAGUUAGUCUUACAUUUCUAUUAUUUCCAAGAGUAGUUUUAGGUCUACAGGGACGGGGAUUAGAGCGAGGGAUAGAGCGAGGAUCCAUCUACUUGGCGUUCAAUUUAGAGCGAGGUAGAGCGAGCGAUGCUGGAGAUAUAGCGCGAUUAGUUCCGACAAUUUUUUCUCGCUCAACUAACCAACAUUUCAGUUAGUCUUACAUUUCUAUUAUUUCAAAGAGUAGUUUUAGGUCUAUGGGGAUGGGGAUUAGAGCGAGGGAUAGAGCGAGGAUCCAUCUACUUGGUGUAUAAUUUAGAGCGAGGUAGAGCGAGGGAUGGCGGAGAUAUAGAGCGAUUAGUUACGGGAAUUAUUUUUCACUCGGCUUCUUAGGAUUUUCAAAGCACAUUUUAACCAUGAUUUGUCCUCCUCCUCCUCCUCCUCCUUCUCCUCCUACUACUACUACUACUACUACUACUA